rnacentral:lncRNA from 10 species
GAUGGCAGAUCAAGAAUAAAGAAAAAUCCCUUUCAUUCCAGAAAAUCUCCUGAAAAAGAGGGAGGCUUAUCCAACCCUCAAAGUCACCCAGACAAAUCAGGUACUUUUGGCAAAGAAGGAGCAGAGGAAAGGAAAAGCGCUCAGUUUUAAGUGACUGGAAUUGUUCCUACAUGAUUCCUGGUGGCAGAAACACAACAAGGUUCCUCUCAGACAAGCACAAGUGAAACCUCAUGCCCUGGAGUUGAAAGGAAUAAACAUUCCUUGGCCUUUGUUGUAUGCAUCCAAAGGAUUAGUGGCAUGAAUCUACUGGUGCAGAGAACCAUUACAAGAUGUAUUAGUCCGUUUUCACACUGCUAUAAAGAACUUCCCUGAGACUGGAAAUUUAUAAGGAAAGAGGUUUAAUUGACUCACAAUUCCACAAGCUCAGGGAAUUUGUAAUCGUGAAGGAAGGUGAAGCGAAAGC